rnacentral:rRNA from 1 species
CACGUAGGCACCAAGCGUUAUCCGGAUUUAUUGGGCGUAAAGAGCUCGUAGGCGGUUCGGUAAGUCGGGUGUGAAAACUCUGGGCUCAACCCAGAGAGGCCACCCGAUACUGCUGUGACUAGAGUGCGGUAGGGGAGCGGGGAAUUCCUGGUGUAGCGGUGAAAUGCGCAGAUAUCAGGAGGAACACCGAUGACGAAGGCAGCUCGCUGGGACGGUACUGACGCUGAGACGCGAAAGCGUGGGGAGCAAACAGG